AUUGUUUUAUUGGUUGUGCACUUAUCGUUUUUAUCAAGAAACCAAGAUUCAUUUAUGUCUUUUACAAAAAGGGGAUACGAAAAGAGACGCAGUAAACGUGUCCAAAAAGAACAUUAAAAAAUACUAAAAUUUUCAUCAGUACAUAUAGAAAAAAAAUCGAAUGUUGAAACUUCUAAAAGAAAUGAUUUCUUAUCUUGCGAAUCUAAAAUAAAAAGAAUAUUUUGACCAUCAUAAGUCAUCGAUUUUGUACAAUGAAUACUCUUAUGACCAAAAGCCUAAUGAGUAUAAGCAUAACCCAACUUUAAAGGAAAGUUUUUCUGCAUGUUUUUCUAACCAAGUAAUUAUGCACUAAACAAGUGGAUUGACAAAGAAUACCAACAAAUUUAUUGUCCAAAAAAAAAACUAUAAUCAUGCACUGAAAAACAACCUUUUGUCAACAAAAGAAUGGCACAAAUUUCCAUUGAUAAAGUAUUCAUUUUCAUGUUGUGAAGAAUACAACUUUCUACAUCAGAUGAGAUAUAUGUUAAAGAAAGCAUUAAAAAUAAGAAUAACAAAUCAUGCCGUUCUUCAUUGCCAGAACCUCCGCCACCUAUUAUGAAUAAGCCCAAUGCUAAAAGUAUAACAUAAAUAUCAUAAUUUUUUCUUAACGAUUUAUAAACUGAAAUAGAUUCUUGUUUAAUUUGAUCUGAAUAAUAUCUAUCUAGCUAUUAGUCUUUUUUUAUGUAUUACUAAGAUUUUCCUUUUAUUUUAACUAUUUGGGUGUCCUAUUAUCUGUAAUGUUGUUAAAUUGGUUACAUAUAUUUAUAUCAUUGACAACAUUCUAUUGUAUUAAAUAAUCCUUUAAUCAACUUGAUAUGAAAAUUGAAAAUUGAUUGAAAGCAUGCUGAAGUUGUUUGAAUUCAGAAAUUGAAAGAGUACAAAAUUGGUUGAAAGAUUAAAUUAAGUAACAGGUAUGGUUGAGGGAUUAUUUAUAGUUCUAAUUAUAAUUAUUUCUUUUGAAUAGAGUUGUUAUCAGAUUCAAAGAUUGAAGAAGAUAAUUUUUCUUCACAUUUUAUUGAUGAACACCAAGCAAAGUUCACAUUGUCAAAGAGUUUUAAGUUUUAAUAGAUGCAAAAUGUUAUUCUCAAGGAGCUUGCAGAAAUAAAAGUUCUUUUAAAAGAAGUUAUAGAAAUUAAGUUUCAGGCUACUGGGGUGAAGUUGCUAGAAUUGGUGGACGAAGUGGUUACACUGGAUAAUAAACUAAAAGAUAAAACUGAGUAUACUAAUUUGCUUGAUAGUUUAAAAAAGAUUGGUGGUGGAAAGCCAAGAGAACAUGUUUUUUUGAUCAUGAAAAGGUAAAUGAUUAUGUUUUUAUUAAUUAUUAGAAAUAUGAUUAAAAGGGACCAAAAGCAAUUCUUUUUGACCGUUAUUUGUUAUAGAUUUACUUUUAACAUGACAAUUUGAUAAAGUCGGGAGCUUCGCUGUUAUUUUCGAAUCAGUUACAGUCCAAAUUAAAUCGAAAAGUUUAUGGGGAAAAGAUAAGCUUAGAAAAUCUAGUAAAUAUAUGGAGUGUUUUACGAGAUAUCGGCGAUGUCGAAGAAAAUGUUGACGGCAAUGCAGAAAUAUAGUUUCUUAUGUAUAUUUUUGUGAAAUAAAAAUUAAUUAAUGUUAGUUAAAA
rnacentral:misc_RNA from 1 species